rnacentral:tRNA from 1 species
GGUGGGGUUCCCGAGCGGCCAAAGGGAGCAGACUGUAAAUCUGCCGUCAUCGACUUCGAAGGUUCGAAUCCUUCCCACCACCACCA